rnacentral:rRNA from 1 species
UACGUAGGGUGCGAGCGUUGUCCGGAAUUAUUGGGCGUAAAGAGCUCGUAGGCGGUGUGUCGCGUCGGCCGUGAAAACCUGGGGCUCAACUCUGGGCGUGCGGUCGAUACGGGCAUCACUUGAGUUCGGCAGGGGAGACUGGAAUUCCUGGUGUAGCGGUGAAAUGCGCAGAUAUCAGGAGGAACACCGAUGGCGAAGGCAGGUCUCUGGGCAUUAACUGACGCUGAGACACGAAAGCGUGGGUAGCAAACAGG